rnacentral:rRNA from 1 species
GAUGAACGCUGGCGGCGUGCCUAAUACAUGCAAGUCGAGCGAACAGACGAGGAGCUUGCUCCUUUGACGUUAGCGGCGGACGGGUGAGUAACACGUAGGUAACCUACCUAUAAGACUGGGAUAACUUCGGGAAACCGGAGCUAAUACCGGACAAUAUUUCGAACCGCAUGGUUCGAUAGUGAAAGAUGGCUUUGCUAUCACUUAUAGAUGGACCUGCGCCGUAUUAGCUAGUUGGUAAGGUAACGGCUUACCAAGGCAACGAUACGUAGCCGACCUGAGAGGGUGAUCGGCCACACUGGAACUGAGACACGGUCCAGACUCCUACGGGAGGCAGCAGUAGGGAAUCUUCCGCAAUGGGCGAAAGCCUGACGGAGCAACGCCGCGUGAGUGAUGAAGGUCUUCGGAUCGUAAAACUCUGUUAUUAGGGAAGAACAAACGUGUAAGUAACUGUGCACGUCUUGACGGUACCUAAUCAGAAAGCCACGGCUAACUACGUG